UAUGGAUAUUAAAGGGAGAAGUAACAUGUUAAUCUCUUCAGGGGAUUAAAGAGUUUAAAGUCUUGCUCACUCCUCUCUAUCACGCACACGUAGUACGCCCGCUCAAUGUACAAUUCACGUUUUGAAUAAUAUUUUAGUCAAAAGAUGUCUUGCAUUCCACGUUGCGAUGCCACCUGUUCUAAGCAAUAAUUUCGAUUAAUGUCUAGACAGGUCUCGCCUCUUUCUUCAGUAGUAAUAAAAACGAAGUAAUUUUGCGACGAUUAUUCCAGUUUUAUCAAGACUCCGUCCCACUAAGCCGUGUUCUCAGUUCUCAAGAGUAGCUUUAGCCAUUUGCUGCGCUUUAAGCAGAAUUAAGGCCAUUUUACAAGACAUCAGCACCCUGCAAGGAAACACAGACAUCAACACGUGAAAUGGAAAGGGCGCCGGUAACUUGUCACGUGCAAGUGGGCUUUACAGAACAGCUAUCACAAAAAACCGAUCAGCUUAAAAGUCACCAAAAAGCGAAUAGUCAGCAGAGUCAAGUCGAAAGGCUUUUUCCAGAAUUUUUCUCCGGUUGCAACGAACCACGUUUCAAAGAAAUGUGCAAAGACAAGGCUCACACACAUUUGAAGGCGGAACAAGGGUUCGACCCGCUGAUUCAAUCGUGGUUAAGCUUAUAUGGAGGAAGCGCAUGCGUCCAUUAGACAUCACCUUUACUCGUUCUCAUGAAGGAACAAUUCUUACACUGCUAGUCUUUACUGGGGAUAACAUAGAGAGUGAUGAUAUUAAUGACAAAAAAGGAAUACUCCAAAACUUCUUAGCUGACAAGAGUAUAAAAUCUGAGAUCUUUAUACUUAGGUUUCUUGGUAAGAGUCUAUUUCAUCACUACUUUGACUAAAAGCCUCAAGGACACUUAUUCACAAAACAGAAAACAAGAUCUUUUCAAACCUUUUAAUGCACGCUAUUUGUCAAGAAAUGACACUAGAUCUGCGCACAGUUAUCGUUUUCUUAGAAAUAUUUUACCUUGUGUCUUUACUUUCGAUCAGUUCAGAGAAAUAGGAUGACUGAAGCCAGAUAUUGAAAAUGUCGCCUUAGAGUUUGUCGGAAAAUGUUUCACAUUUAACGUCAGUGGGCUGCUGGUUGCAAAGUAUUCUGUGGUUGUUUUCUCCCCUCAGCUGGUAGAACGGUAGUACAAACUAGUUUUCGAGUGGCAAUUUAUUGUUUUUACCGCAAUUCUUAAAAAUAGAAGUUUAAAAGCUA